CCCCUAGAUGUUCUGGGCCGCACGCGCGCUACACUGAACAGUUCAACAAGUCUUAACCUUGGCCGAUAGGUCUGGGUAAUCUUUGAACGCUGUUCGUGAUUGGGAUAGACCUUUGCAAUUAUGGGUCUUCAACGAGGAAUUCCUAGUAAACGCAAGUCAUCAGCUUGCAUUGAUUACGUCCCUGCCCUUUGUACACACCGCCCGUCGCACCUACCGAUUGAAUGGUCCGGUGAAAUCUCGGGACGGCGGCUUGGUCGCUUGCGUCCGACUGCUGAAACUUGAUUAAACCUUAUCAUUUAGAGGAAGGAGAANUCGUAACA
rnacentral:rRNA from 1 species